rnacentral:rRNA from 1 species
AGAACGAACGCUGGCGGCAUGCCUAAUACAUGCAAGUCGAACGAACUCUUCGGAGUUAGUGGCGCACGGGUGCGUAACGCGUGGGAAUCUGCCCCUUGGUUCGGAAUAACAGUUGGAAACGACUGCUAAUACCGGAUGAUGACGAAGGUCCAAAGAUUUAUCGCCAAGGGAUGAGCCCGCGUAGGAUUAGCUAGUUGGUGAGGUAAAGGCUCACCAAGGCAACGAUCCUUAGCUGGUCUGAGAGGAUGAUCAGCCACACUGGGACUGAGACACGGCCCAGACUCCUACGGGAGGCAGCGAGGUAGGGAAUAGUUAGGACAAGUGGGACGAAAGCC